rnacentral:lncRNA from 1 species
UUCAUAUUGAAUAAUUGAGAAUUGAAUAUUGGUUCUUGCAAUAUUUUAUGGAGUUUUCAGAUUUGACAAUUUUUUGGGAUCUAUAUUUUGUUAAAUUUGAAAAUUUUUGUGGUCUAACUUUCAUUAUUUUCAUAAUUGGGAUUAAUAGAUGAGGAAUUUCAGAUUAUGGUUUCUUGGUUUUAGAUUACAUAUUUAUGAGGUUUGAAAAAAAAAAAAUUUGGGCUGCGUCGAAGACAGCACUGUCACUGGGAGCAACUGUUGUGUGGGGGGACGCCGGCGCUUCCAUUCUGUUCGUGCGCCACCACGCCCAAGGGAGAAAGAGAAGAAAUUUUUUUUAGGGUUUUUUCAGGUUUUGGAUGAUUUGGGGGCGGGGCUUGACUUGUAAAUUAGGUAACUUGAAGUCCAUGUUUGCAAUUAAGGUUAGGGUUAUAAAAUUAAGGUUUCAAUUCCUAACAUUUUAAAGUUCAUUCAAAUUGGGUCAUUAGGUUUUGGGUUUAAUAAUUCAAUCAUUCAAGUUUAAAAAUUAAUUAAUUCGAGCCACAGAAGUUCUGAAUUUUAU